GGAGCCUCGCCGCGGUCUCACGAGGGGGCGGGUGUUUGGCGGCCUCGGUUAGGUGGUCAGGCUCCUCCGACGCCUGGAGGCGUCCUUCCGCUCCGGACCGCCCUGGCGUCGCCGUGCCCGAGGCGGGGGAGAGGCGCGGCCCGGGCUUUGGGUUCUCGGGCUGGACCUCGCCUGCACCCGCCUUCUCCUCCGCAGGAGCGGAGCCUGGCCGGCGGAGCGGCUCUGCUGUCACUUGGCCCAAGGACCCUGGGGUAGGAAAGCGCGACCUGAUUAGAUCCUGCCAGGAAUGUCCUAAUGAUGCACCGAAGCCCUCUGAGUCUUGCCCUCUUUCCCUUCCUCACGUUUUGUGGUAAACCCAGCUCGUUCACAGGUGAUAAAUGUCAGAAGGGAGCCAGACGCCCAUGCACAGAGGAAGAAGGAAGUAGUACGUGUGAAAAGUGAAACGGUGUUAACCAAGUACUUGAAAGCAACUCAUAAUAUUUGGUGGCAGUGGUGAAUUGAAGAGAACUUCUGGCAGCUUUGGGAACGAGGAACACAUGAGGCGUGGCACACAUGAACCCUUCGCGUUCUCAUCCUGUUCCCAAGGGCUCUUGGGCGGGGAUAAUCAAGCCCUGGGAAUGCUCAUGCACGAACAUGGUACUAGACGCGCCAAUGAGAGCAUGCAGUGUGAUUCAGUGGCUCGUGCCUAGCCCAGCUGUCUUCAUGCGAGAGCCGCAGCUGUGGAGUGAGCCCAAGCAUCUGCAGAUCUGACCCUAGGAAACGGCGUUUAUUUGGAAACUUCACACUUUGUCCCAAGUCAUCUUCACUCCGAACUGACUCCACAUUUCUCUGCAAAUAGACUAACUUCCUGAGAUCCUGCUUUCACCAUCUAAUCUACAUCUUCAAUGUUGCAACACCCUUGAUUUGGCUCUCUUACUACCUCUACCUGAUGAAGGUGCGCUGAAGACCUCCCCUGUCGCAAGGCUGAUGUCCUCACAGUGGCCAAGAAAGUGUUGGAAAAUGUGUUUCCCACUUGGGGUAUACCUUCUAUAAUCUCCAGUGAUCAAGGUACCCACCUCACUGGGCAAAUCAUAUAAGCCUUAACAAACACCUUGCAAACCUCUUGGGAUUACCACUGUCCCUAUCACCCUUUAAUCAUCAGGUAAGGUUGAGAGAACUAGAGAGAUCCUUUAAACUUAAAAUGUCUAAACUUGCAGACACCACUGGAUUUCCAUGGCCCACAGUAUUGUCUUUGGUCUUGCUGACUGUUCAUAGUACUUCCUUUGGGAAAGUCACUCUAUACAAGACAGUCGCUGGUAGAUCAAUGUCUAUCAGUAUAUAACCUUCUGCUGAAGAUACACAACUUUCAUGCUAGGAUGUCCAGCUACAGUAAGUCUUAUGCUUAUGUCUUCUGUUUAAGCAUAUCAUCAGCAGAUUAAAGAAGCUUUGAUGAAUCCCAUUUCAAGGGAUCCUGUUGGUCACAGUCUAGAGCCUGGUAACCGGGUCUUCUGGAAGUGUCAUCAGAGGAGGACAGCCUCACUGUGCCUCAUGGGAAGGGAGCUUCCCAAGUGCUCCCGAACACAAUCUACUGCAAAACUAGAACACACUGAGCCUUGGGUACAUGUCUCACUGAUAAAGAAGGCUCCACCUGAUAUCAGGCCCUAGGCAGAUGAUACAGACCUACAAACUGAAUUGACAAGGAAGAGAAGUGGCUGACAUCGAAGUAGACUGCCUUCACCCAAGAUGCUGGAUCAAGACCUCAUACUUAAACUAAACAUGAAACCCUUUCUCCUUUUUCUUUUCUUUACUCUGGCAUUGGCCUGGAGAGAUAAUGCCCUCAUUGUAUCCCUCAGGCCAUUGCUAAGUUUGAGAGGGGAUUGGUUAACUCUCAGAUCACUAGAUUUGUUACGAUGCAAGAGAUCCUACCCGGGACCAAUUUCUCUUUGAAUCUCAAUGUCAAUCCUCCCCUCCCCCUGCCCCAUCCCCCACUUAGAAGUAUGUACCCAGUUAGACACAUUUACCUAUGUGAAUCUUAGCGCAUUUGGAUCCUUCUGUUCCCAUGAUUAUCUAGACCAGAUCCGUCCCCACUCGCUGAGAGAGCUCACCAGCAGCACCCAUCUUUAUAAGGCACUUAAGAUGACUUUUUAUUUCAGGUUUGGAGAUUCCCUUCCUAUAUAUGCUAAAACCCUGACUGACCCCGGGUUUAGGAGUAAAUACAAAUGAGAAUAUGAUUAGAAACUUCUCCUGAACUCUCGGAGCCCCUGCAGAGUCUGUUGUUAAGACACUAGCUGCCCAGCAAAGAUCCUUAGAGUCUCUGGCCAAAGCGUUCGGAGUAAGGAGGUGUCUGAGCUGGGCCAACAGAACCUGCUGUACCUGAACUAACACUUCUGCGGAAGAUGCAACUCAGUUAUGUAAGAGUUCCGAGAACGCCACUUGGCUUAAAAGGGUGACUUCUUCAAUGGGGUCAUUCUUUGGUUCAGUCUUGGGGACCAUGGCCCUGAAGUGCACUCCAAAUGUUGGGAAUUAUCCUGCUUAUAGUUACAGGAACCUCCCUGGUGUGCUGUAUUCUCCUAAGGGCUUUAAAUGCAUGUUUGCCGCCACCAACCACCAAGCCAAUGAUCUCCCUGAGGCUGGAAUGACAGAAAAGGAGCAAAGAGAAUGACCAACUAAAAAACUGUGAGCCUGAAGUCAUGACUCAUGAGUGCCACAGAGAGUCAGCAAAACCCAGGAUGAAUGAAAGCUUCGAGAACUAGAGCCGUAGCUGAGAGUGGUGCUAAUGCCUUGAAUUUCGAUCACAUCUCUCAGUUAGGCUGAGAGUUGGAUCAAAAGAGGGGGGACUGUUAAAAAGAAACAACAGGCCCCAAAUGGAGUCACCAAGACUUCAUGUCUAACCUAACUGCAGUUUCAGCCUCGCUGGGUUUUAAACUCAUCAUGCUGGAAUUUCCAGAUCGGCCCCAGUGAGGUAAUCUGCACAAGACCCCCUGCCCUUUCCCGAAACCAUCCUUUCUUUUCUUCUGCUAGUUAACUUCCUUGUCCCACCCCAUUCUGCCUAUCAAAGCCUUCCAUUUUAUACAACUCCUUGGAACAGCCUCCUAUUUGUUAGAUGGGAUGCUGCUGACUCCUGAGUCUUAAAUAAAGCCAAUUAGCUCUUUCAAUUUACUCAGCUGAACUUUGUUCUUUAACAAGACAUAGUGGGGAGCGCCCGGGUGGCUCAGUCGGUCAGGUGUCUGCCUUCGGCUCAGGUCAUGAUCGCAGAGUCCUGGGACUGGGAGUCUGCUUCUCCCUCUCUCCCCGCCCCUUCCCCUCACCACCUGUAUUCUUCCACAUGUGUGCACCCUCUCUCUCUCUCAAAUAAAUAAAUAAAAUCUUAAAAAAACGAACAGGACAUAGGGGUCUUUUUCAUGGUUAACUUAGUGCACUGAUGAAGUUAAUCUGAACUUUGGGAAAUUAAAUUUAAAGAAAUUUCAGAUUUCAGAAAGUCAGUCCAUCGACUAAAAUUCUGUGUAUCCUAUAAAAGGCUAAGGGUAUAUGGACUUGAAUUCUACUUCUGGCUCUGUCUGCAACAGAACUGGGCCUUAAUCAUUUAACCUCUCUUGGCUUUGAGUUGGUUGAAUUAGAUGAAUCUAACUGUAACAGUCAGUUAUUCUACCACUUAUACUUUGUUUUUAAAAAUUUGGUUGUUUUUCUGUUAUUGUUUAUAGUCAUUGACUAUUUCUCUACCUUGUUUUGUUUCAAGGACAUAUUAGAUGAAUCCUUUUGUUUGCUAGAUGGGUCAGAUGGACGUGUCACAUGUCAGUAUUAUUGUUUUUGUAUUGGUUGGGACGUGGACUGAUCAUUGAGAUGGGCCUAAAAGGAAACAGGAUGAUGUGCACUCAUUACCAAAAACAUUUUAAUGACCCUUAUGAAAUCGUACAUGGUUCUCCCUGUUCUGCUAUAAAAGGAAACACAAUUAAUUGUUUAUUAAAAUACAGUACUCUAAUACCACAGUGAAAUACAGCUCUA